rnacentral:rRNA from 1 species
GAUGGGGAGCGAAAUUUAGUAGCGAAGUAGCUGAUUUCACACUGUCAAGAAAAGUCUCUAUCGAGGUUAAAGGUACCCGUACCGCAAACCGACACAGGUGGGUGAGGAGAGUAUCCUAAGGCCAGCGAGAGAACUGUUGUUAAGGAACUCGGCAAAAUGACCCCGUAACUUAGGUAUAAGGGGGGCCACCAUCAGUGGACCGAAGAGUAUAGGCCCAAGCGACUGUUGACCAAAAACAUAGGUUUCGGCUAAGUCGCAAGACGAUGGAUAGGAGCUGACGCCUGCCCGGGGCUGGAAGGUUAAGGGGAUCUGUGAGAGCAAGCGAAGCAGUGAACGUAAGCCCAAGUAAACGGCGGCCGUAACUAUAACGGUCCUAAGGUAGCGAAAUUCCUUGUCGGGUAAGUUCCGACCCGCACGAAAGGCGUAACGAUUUGGGCACUGUCUCAACAACAGAC